rnacentral:misc_RNA from 1 species
GAUGAAGAACGUAGCGAAAUGCGAUACGUAAUGUGAAUUGCAAAUUCAGUGAAUCAUCGAGUCUUUGAACGCACAUUGCGCCCGCCAGUAUUCUGGCGGGCAUGCCUGUUCGAGCGUCAUUUCAACCAUCAAGCCCCCGGGCUUGUGUUGGGGACCUGCGGCUGCCGCAGGCCCUGAAAAGCAGUGGCGGGCUCGCUGUCACACCGAGCGUAGUAGAUUUUAUCUCGCUCUGGGCGUGCUGCGGGUUCCGGCCGUUAAACCACCCUUUUAACCCAAGGUUGACCUCGGAUCAGGUAGGAAGACCCGCUGAACUUAAGCAUAUCAAUAAGCGGAGGA